rnacentral:ribozyme from 1 species
CUAGUACUAGCAUUAAUUAAAGUCCAAUGAGAAAAGAUGAUUUAUCAUGAUCAUUUGAUUUCUAAAAUUAACACUGAAGUAUAAUUCUAUGAUUUUGGUGGUAAUACACAUGGAUAAAUGGAUUUUAUGGUAUUACUUUAAUACCAUUAUAUCAAAAACUCAUGA